rnacentral:rRNA from 1 species
CACCGCGGUGAGACGGGUGACCCAAGCUGACAGCCCCCGGCGUAAAGGGUGGUUAGGGUAUAUUUAAAUUAAAGCCGAACGCCCUUAAAGCCGUGAAAAGCAUAAAAAGGUAUGAAGGUCAAUUACGAAAGUAGCUUUAUUAUUCCUGACUCCACGAAAGCUAAGGCA